CCCUACGGGGCGCAGGAAAGAGAGAAAGGCCUCAUUGUAGCGGAUGAUGGAGCCCUCGCGCUCGGUGACGGCGGUGGCCAUGUUGUCGAAGACAAGCUCUUUGGGUGUUCCGCCGAAGAAAACAAAGGCAUUGAGGAGGCAUCGGUGAAGGGUCUCCUGGCGCUGCGAGUGGGAAAACUCGAGGUAGAGCAACCGGCUGUGACAUUCGACGACGGCAAGGCAAUAGAGCUUUCGGCGCCAGCUCCCAUAAGAAAGAGAGCCGAAGUGGCCCCAAUCUAUCUGGCACUGCUCUCCGGGAGGCGAUUCGAAGCGGAUGCAAGGAGUGGGUUGAGUCUGGCGCAGGGUGCGGACGAAAUCUUUGACGAUGGUGUAGCUUCCAUGGAAUCCCAGGGAGAGGAGGCGCUGAAAGAUGACCUGGGCACUGGCGGGAGGGC
rnacentral:rRNA from 1 species